CCUGGCCCUAACUGCUCACUGGUGUGGCCCAGAUAGAGGGAGGACCUCUGGUGCUGCCUCUGGUUCCAGCAUGUCCCACACUGCAUUUUGGCAUGGUUGGGCCAUCUUGCAUGUGGAGACCUUGGAUGUCAAGGAGGAGGUGGCAGCCGUACUCAGCCACCAAACUGAGGAGUAGAUUGGUUGUUUGCCACACCUCACCCGGGGCUUCAUUGUGACAUACAAUGGCUCCAACUAGGCUUGUGCAUUUUGAUUCGGGCACAAAUCGAUUUGUGCCUGAAAAUGGCAGUUUCUGAUUAUUUGUCUACAAAUCGAAACCAGAAUUAGACCUCUGAUAAUUUUCCUUUACAAACCUUUACAAACCAAAUGACCUCCUCUCGGAUCUGAGUUUUGUUUACUUCGGAAAACACUUCAGCGCUCCAUCAGCAUUGCAUUGCAAAUUGUCCUUUUUGUCUCUCCACACAGACUCUAGCAGCAACUGACUGAGUGUUUGUCAGAAGGAUUAGCAUAGCAGAAGAUAAGAUAUGCAAAAAGGGACACAGCUUCUGAAGACAUUUAGUGAAGAGAAAUGAGCUGUAUUGUGAUGCAAUUGUGUGCUGAGAAUGAAAUGAUUAAGCUGAGAGCAGCCAAUUCAUUGUCAACUCUAAGUAACAAUAUCCGGAGCUUCCCACUCUGUCUGGGGGGCUGCUGGGGGUGCCUGGAGGAGAGACUUCUUACAGCUUUGCCCCCCUUUUCUCCCUCUUUAUUAUCUUGUGUGUAAUGAAUAAGAUUCAACAUGCCCUGUCCUGUUUGCAUUUAAAAUAUUUAAGCCCUUGCAGAAAACAAAACAAAAUGCCAGCAAGGACACCACCUGCAAGCCUCUUUCAAGGUAUAUAGGAGGCACAAGCUAUUAUGCUUGGUUAAAGCAAAAAGCAUACACUUGCUAUUAACACACUGGGAAGUAUAUAAGUGGAAUAUGAGGAGGGGGAGGGUUUGAGAGGUAGCAUGAUACAGGAAGACAUUCUGAUUGACAGAUUUUUAAACUUCAGAUUUGCAUUGGGGGGGGGGGACUAGUCGGAGUUUAGACACAGCUGCCUUUAUUAAAUUUGAUGGCUCUAUUUCCCAUUUCCAGAAAGAGAGAACUGAGUUUGCACCAGGAAUAUAUAUGCUGGUGUAGGGCACCAUUUCCUCGUUACUGCUGCAUGUGUGGGUGAAGAGAGAGCUCCAUUCAUUGCUCUUCCAUCAUCCUUUGCCCCAUCCUCCACCAUUGACUCCAUUUUCCCGGGGGAGCUGCCAUUCUCCAGGAUUUAUGCCCUUCCUUAGCCUCGCUGACCAGACUGCUGCUUCUCCAGCCUUUUAAAAAAAGGCUUGAUGUUGGAAUGAAGGAUUAUAGAAUUGAUGGUUCAGAAGAAUCUGAGGCACACCACAACUGAUUUCAUUAUAAGGAACACCAUGCUGGAAGUGUAGUGAAAUGGCAACAUUCAGAACACACAGGGGAAUGCAGGUGUGAGCCCACCCCACUCCAAGCAUGGCACCUUGUGCAUCUGCAGAACUCACUGAGAAUGUGAGUUCCUAGCUAAGAAAAACGAACAUUUCAAACUCAACAGUAAUGAGGAUUCAAACCUCAGCAUCUCAGUUCCCAGUAUUUAAGCUGAACGAAAUACAGUGUGAUUUACCUAAAGGCAAUCAUCACAGUCUGUUAGCUAGUCAAGUGCUUUCUACAAGACAACCUUAAUCUACAACUUUGGUUUCCUGCCAGCUGUCCUUGGGCAAAGGGAACAAUGUCCACUUUUGUUUCUGUGCCACAUUCUGCAGCAGUUUGGAGAUGAUUGCCCAGUACAAUCCAUUAUGUUUUCAUCUGUUGGUUCAUACACUAGACAUCCAACAGACUUCAUCUUAUGUGGGCAUCUAUGAGUUGUUUCUCAAGACUGAAAAGUAACAAGGGCCGCCUCAUCCUUGCAGACUGUUGUUCCCAGUCUGGAUGAUUGGACAACCAGUCAAUAAAACUGGUAAUGGCAGCAACAUCAAUCACGUUGAAAAAAGUGCCGGUGGUCACCUUUUGCUGGCAGAUGUUUGUUCUUACUAGGUGAUUUAGAUUGUCAACAUCACUCUUCAUCACAUUGGCAUGCAAAACAGUGAGGCCGUUCUCACGACCAGUCCUACCCGGGCAAGAACUGCCCUCCCUGGGUAGGGCUGGUUGUGAGAUCCACCAGGAUCGCUUGCGAUCCCAGUGCUCCUCAGCCAGAUCGCCUGGGUUUUGUACCCAGGGUAAAAGUGAGGCUGGAGGGUGCAUGCAUGCCCUCCAACCUCACCUACCUGUCGUUUGUGUAGAACCAGUUCGAUCCAAACUGGGUCCAGUUCAGUCCAAACUAGGACUGGCUCCCCUUUGGUGGUGGGGGGCAGUCUGGUUUGAAUUGGGCCAGUUCGAAUUGAGCUGGGUUUGAUUUGAACCAGUUCUGCUCACACAAAAUUGUACAGGAAGCAACUUUAACUGACAAACAAGAGUUUGAUAUUUAUUACUAACUGAAACAUAGGCUAAGAAAACAAUAAACAGACUAACAGUCUCUUAUGCAGUGAGAGGGAGAACCUCUCAGUUUGAAUUCAGGACAGCAAGUAAGAAGCUUGAAGGAAGGAGGAGCUUAGUCUCCACCCGUAAACCCAAACAUAGACACAAACAUAUACAGACAAGCAUGCACCUAGACAAGAGCAGAGACAACACUUAUGCAGUAAAUUCCAAUAGAAACAGGGCUAUGUAUGUUCCUGGGGAAUAAGUCUAUGAGGUCUGAGACCUCAGAGGAGUGUGUGAUUGCCCCUUUGCUCUCCUUCUUGAAGAUGAGGAGGUGUCUGAUCAAAGCUCUGACGGCUUCUCAACAGCUUACCAGGAAGAAAGCUUUGGGAAAUACAAGAGAAAUGUAUCUCUUUACCUCUCAAAUUGCAUAAAGUAUACAAAAUUAA